rfam:Thielavia terrestris NRRL 8126 chromosome 2, complete sequence.
GGGCGUGUGGCUCAGUUGGUAGAGCGUUCGCUUAGCAUAUUUGCCUCCAGGUGAAUGCGAAAGGUCCUGGGUUCGAUUCCCAGCUCGUCCA